rnacentral:rRNA from 1 species
UGCAGUCGAGCGAAUGGAUUGAGAGCUUGCUCUUAUGAAGUUAGCGGCGGACGGGUGAGUAACACGUGGGUAACCUGCCCAUAAGACUGGGAUAACUCCGGGAAACCGGGGCUAAUACCGGAUAACAUUUUGAACUGCAUGGUUCGAAAUUGAAAGGCGGCUUCGGCUGUCACUUAUGGAUGGACCCGCGUCGCAUUAGCUAGUUGGUGAGGUAACGGCUCACCAAGGCAACGAUGCGUAGCCGACCUGAGAGGGUGAUCGGCCACACUGGGACUGAGACACGGCCCAGACUCCUACGGGAGGCAGCAGUAGGGAAUCUUCCGCAAUGGACGAAAGUCUGACGGAGCAACGCCGCGUGAGUGAUGAAGGCUUUCGGGUCGUAAAACUCUGUUGUUAGGGAAGAACAAGUGCUAGUUGAAUAAGCUGGCACCUUGACGGUACCUAACCAGAAAGCCACGGCUAACUACGUGCCAGCAGCCGCGGUAAUACGUAGGUGGCAAGCGUUAUCCGGAAUUAUUGGGCGUAAAGCGCGCGCAGGUGGUUUCUUAAGUCUGAUGUGAAAGCCCACGGCUCAACCGUGGAGGGUCAUUGGAAACUGGGAGACUUGAGUGCAGAAGAGGAAAGUGGAAUUCCAUGUGUAGCGGUGAAAUGCGUAGAGAUAUGGAGGAACACCAGUGGCGAAGGCGACUUUCUGGUCUGUAACUGACACUGAGGCGCGAAAGCGUGGGG